rnacentral:rRNA from 1 species
AGAGUUUGAUCCUGGCUCAGAGUGAACGCUGGCGGUAGGCCUAACACAUGCAAGUCGAACGGCAGCACAGUAAGAGCUUGCUCUUAUGGGUGGCGAGUGGCGGACGGGUGAGGAAUACAUCGGAAUCUACUUUUUCGUGGGGGAUAACGUAGGGAAACUUACGCUAAUACCGCAUACGACCUACGGGUGAAAGCAGGGGACCUUCGGGCCUUGCGCGAUUGAAUGAGCCGAUGUCGGAUUAGCUAGUUGGCGGGGUAAAGGCCCACCAAGGCGACGAUCCGUAGCUGGUCUGAGAGGAUGAUCAGCCACACUGGAACUGAGACACGGUCCAGACUCCUACGGGAGGCAGCAGUGGGGAAUAUUGGACAAUGGGCGCAAGCCUGAUCCAGCCAUACCGCGUGGGUGAAGAAGGCCUUCGGGUUGUAAAGCCCUUUUGUUGGGAAAGAAAAGCAGCAGGCUAAUACCCCGCUGUUCUGACGGUACCCAAAGAAUAAGCACCGGCUAACUUCGUGCCAGCAGCCGCGGUAAUACGAAGGGUGCAAGCGUUACUCGGAAUUACUGGGCGUAAAGCGUGCGUAGGUGGUUGUUUAAGUCUGUUGUGAAAGCCCUGGGCUCAACCUGGGAACUGCAGUGGAAACUGGACGACUAGAGUGUGGUAGAGGGUAGCGGAAUCCCCGGUGUAGCAGUGAAAUGCGUAGAGAUCGGGAGGAACAUCCAUGGCGAAGGCAGCUACCUGGACCAACACUGACACUGAGGCACGAAAGCGUGGGGGAGCAAACAGGAUUAGAUACCCUGGUAGU